GCUGUCUGUGAUGUCAUUUUUAUUACCUUACCUACCUUGUUUGAGUGACUUUGAAAAGAAAUACUGUCUGAGACAUGC